rnacentral:ncRNA from 1 species
UGUCUCCUCCAACUCUCUCCAAGAUUGGAUUUCACCCGCUACCGCAAGGCUAGCGGGUUUUUUUU